GACUUGCAUGCCUAAUCCACGCCGCCAACGUUCGUUCUGAGCCACUGCCCAGACUCCUACGGGAGGCUGCAGUCGAGGAUCUUCCGCAAUGCGCGAAAGCGUGACGGAGCGACGCCGCGUGGGUGAUGAAGGCCUUCGGGUUGUAAAGCCCUGUCGACUGGGAAGAAUGGCGGGAGGUGAAUAGCCAUCUCGUCUGACGCUACCAGUAAAGGAAGCACCGGCUAAAUACGUGCCAGCAGCCGCGGUAAUACGUAUGGUGCGAACGUUGUUCGGAAUCACUGGGCAUAAAGAGCACGUAGGCGGUCGGGCAAGUCCAUUGUGAAAUCCCCCGGCUUAACCGGGGAACUGCAAUGGAUACUACUCGGCUAGAGUGUAGGAGGGGAGAGUGGAAUUCCUGGUGGAGCGGUGAAAUGCGUAGAUAUCAGGAGGAACGCCGGCGGCGAAAGCGACUCUCUGGUCUACAACUGACGCUGAGGUGCGAAAGCUAGGGGAGCAAACGGGAUUAGAUACCCCGGUAGUCCUAGCCCUAAACGAUGGGCACUAAGUAGAGGGGUUU
rnacentral:rRNA from 1 species